UGGGGAAUCUUCGGCAAUGGACGAAAGUCUGACCGAGCAACGCCGCGUGAGUGAAGAAGGUUUUCGGAUCGUAAAACUCUGUUGGUAGAGAAGAACGUUGGUGAGAGUGGAAAGCUCAUCAAGUGACGGUAACUACCCAGAAAGGGACGGCUAACUACGUGCCAGCAGCCGCGGUAAAUACGUAGGUCCCGAGCGUUGUCCGGAUUUAUUGGGCGUAAAGCGAGCGCAGGUGGUUUAUUAAGUCUGGUGUAAAAGGCAGUGGCUCAACCAUUGUAUGCAUUGGAAACUGGUAGACUUGAGUGCAGGAGAGGAGAGUGGAAUUCCAUGUGUAGCGGUGAAAUGCGUAGAUAUAUUGGAGGACACCGGUGGCGAAAGCGGCUCUCUGGCCUGUAACUGACACUGGGACUCGAAAGCGUGGGGAGCAAACA
rnacentral:rRNA from 1 species